UGGGGUCACACACAUUAGAAGAUUCAGACAGAUCUGAUGGCUGAAGAGUCCAAUUGGAUUGUGACUCUGGUGAGGAGUCUCACUGGAAUGGAAUUUUGGAGGAGAGUCCCACUGAACUGGGACUCUACUAUUAAUAAAAAAUUAAUUAGUAAUUAGAUUACUAAUUGACUCAAUUUGAUUGAACAAAGAGCUUUGGAUCAAGUCUAAUUGAAUUGGAUUCAAUUCGACUUAGAUUGGAUUUGAUAUGAUCAAGCCUGAUUGCAAAAGAAAUUUGAUCCUGAUUCGAUCAGGCUUGGACUCAACUAAUUCC
rnacentral:lncRNA from 1 species